UACGUAGGGUGCGAGCGUUAAUCGGAAUUACUGGGCGUAAAGCGUGCGCAGGCGGUUCGCCGUGUCCGAUGUGAAAGCCCCGGGCUUAACCUGGGAAUGGCAUUGGAAACUGGCGGGCUUGAGUGUGGCAGAGGGGGGUGGGAAUUCCACGUGUAGCAGUGAAAUGCGUAGAGAUGUGGAGGAACACCGAUGGCGAAGGCAGCCCCCUGGGCCAACACUGACGCUCAGGCACGAAAGCGUGGGGAGCAAACAGG
rnacentral:rRNA from 1 species